ACAAAGGUAUAUUUACCAUACGAGAUGUGUGCACCUACUAAAGGGAAUAGAAAGAUCUUGGGCACAAAUACUCCACUUUUCACGAAAGACAUAGAUUCACCAAUGAUUGGUUGGACUAAAUACUACAUUUAUUUGCUCAGAAGAAGGAAAGUUGGCUGUGAGAAUGAUUUCUCGUACGUAGUCUUUCCUAGGACCAUUCCAACAGGAUGCUCAGAGGUGGGUGGAGAAAAAGCUCAAAAGGCAUACUUCCUGCGCUUUCAGAGGAUCUAAAUCAGUCUUCAUCCUUUCGCUUUUCAAAGCCCCUCGCAAUAAAUAUGUAAAUUCGUUUCGCAGAAAUUCAGAGAUUUUCGAUCUCCUCGAAAGAAAAUGAGUUCGAUCAGCAACACCGGUCUCCGCAGCACCAGGAUAAAGACCUUCUUUUUACCCAUAACCUUUCUCUGCAGCAUUGGAACCAAGAUCGGGCUUGGCAUAGUUACGAGGUUCCCGUUCUAUUUAACUAACACUAACUGAAGCUAACCGGAAGCUUUCUUCUCAUGCGACUCUUGGAUCGAAAAGAGGCUGCUGGACUGGACCACGGCUGAAACUGCCAGGCACGGACUAAAAGCUUUUAUCAGGGAUUCCCGAGUCAAACGACUACCAUACAUAGCAUAGAGCUGGAAGCUGCACUAGUGUACAGAGAAGACUGGAUGUGAACACGGGCGGACAUUGGCUAUGUAUGGGGCACUCACUAAUCACUAUUAGCAGGAAACAACUAGCAGAAAGAAAGAUGAACGCACUUUCACUCCUUGCUCUUCAGCACGUACUCACACGAGGGACUCUCAAAUCUCUAUUUCAGACCAUAAUCUUUCGAUCCCUUUACCGAAGUGAUUGAUAGCAGGGCUAAAAAAUCAUAGGGCUUCUUCUAUUUUUAGUGUGAACUCACUUCUAUUCUAUAUCAAGAUAGGGGCUUCAGUACUUGGCUGACCGCCCGGUGGAAGACCUGGUUCUACCACACAAGGGCAGCUUUCGUAGUCCAGGAUUAUUUUCCUCAUAUGUAAUUUCACCUCAAUGUGGAAAUGUCCGAUCUUAUUCCAAAAUAUAAGGUCUUCAUGAAGGUCUGUCUUGUUUCAGGAAUAUAGGUACCGAAGUUCAAUAGCGGUAGGUACCAAGGAGAAGACGAGUCAGGGCCGAUUGACAAGACUAGCUAGGCUGACCUUCCAGCCAUACUCCAUCCAAUAUCGAACGGAAGUGCUAAAGGUUUCAUGUGAUGCUGACCUCAAUGAACCAGACCUCGAGAAUUCGUUCAUCCCUUCGCUCCGAGGAUUGGUCGAGUACUUGGCCACAUGCAUGAGUAGGCCUGUUGCCGGGAUGUCCCAUUAAAAAGGCAGGUCCCAUAUUUGAAAUACAAAAAUAAGAUCAGAUAGCGCUCAAGAGGUUUUUCUCCAUACGAGAAAUCCUUCACUCGCAGGGAAUUCAAAUAGAUGUGUUGAAGAUCAUCAAAGAAAGGAAAAAGACUGAAUUCGAUCCAUCUCCUCCCUUUUCUUUAAACCAAGAGCUACUCCUCCCUUUUCUUUUUUUAUGUAAUUUCAAUACGAUUUCGUUUGUGUUCAUGUUUUCAAUUUAGAACCCCACGGAAGUGAAUAGAAAAAAGAAAAAUACCCCUGUGAUACGCCUUCCUUUACCUAUUUCUAGAUUGAUUGAUGUUCAAUGGAGGGAAACUUGCCAUUCCUUCUUUCCUUUGAAAUUGUACAUUUUUUUGAUUCUGAACUAAUUGUAUCCUUUUUGUUCCCAUCGAGCUUUCUUGCCUAGUGACUAAGGAUUUUCACACUUGUUGUGUCUAUAAAAGAUUUUCUCAUAAAACACUAACAGAAGUGUUAGAGGGAUUCACUUUCGAUAAGAAUCCAAAAGCAAGUUCCCUAUACUACCUUCUUUCCCUCCUCUGUUUCUGUCUUUAAGAGGCAGUGCAUCCGGCAGGAAUCGAACCUACUUUUUGACCCAUUUUGCCUUUCUAGGUUGGUGGGCGCUUUCAGCAUUCAGCCAUGGAUGCUUUAGCGAGUGAACUAGGUUUUUAUUUGAGAGCGAACUAGGUUUUUAGUGGUAUUCCUUCUCGAGCUUCUAUUUCUUCCGUUAAGGGAGAUUCGGGAAAAGAUGGAAUAGGAAGACGUGUUUCCAGAACGAACAAGAUACGGGUAGAGAAGGGGAAGUUAGCAAAGUUAGACAAGAUUGGAAUGGGCAUAGGAACAUGUAUUGAUGUACCAGAUCGGCUAAUGCUCCCAGGUUGAUGCGAUGUAUUCCACCAGUUGACUGGAGACUUUAUUAUUGGUAUAUCGAUCGGUCCAGCACGGAUUGAAAUAGGAGCCGGUUCGACAGGAAGCUUUUGAAAACGCAGUGCACCCAGGUAAAUAAGGAACAAGAUGAAUACAGAAGUUAAACGAGCAUCCCACACCCGAAAGGUACCCCACAUAGGCCUUCCCCGAAACCCCCCAGUCACUAACGUAAACAAAGUAGAAAAAGCACCAAUUUCUGUACCGGUUCCGGAAGAGCGAAGAAAAAGGGGAUGUUUUGUUAAUGGGAACAAGGAACUGUUUAUAGCUGUCGCGAUAUAAAUAACUAUACUCAUCCGAGCCGCAGGAACAUGUACAUACGAAAUACGAGAAUUUCCACCUUGUUGAAGAUCUGGUGGUGCUACCCGAAGACUUAAAUGAAUAGCCAUCGCUGUUAAGAACAACCGAGAUCCAAUGAGAAUUUGCGCGUAGCUUUUUGUCUUUGACAUAAAAAAAUAAGGUUGUAAUAACGAAACUGACAUUUUAUUUUCCUUGCCUUGCAAGUGGAACAAGAAAGACUAUAUAGUUAUUUUGAUUCUAUAAACAAUCAAAGGAUUUCGCAUGCUUUCCAUGGAAUGACGGAAUUCCCCUUGCUUAGUUUUCGCUCCGCUCGUGCGUGGCACUCCUUGCUUGCGGAGCGGCAUAUCGGAAAAAGAAGGAUUUACUUUCUAUACGGGCCCGUCCCCUCUUACCCCUAACUAACAAUUAUGCUGCUCUCGCCUUUUUGUAAUCUUAUCUUUCAAAAAUGCACUACUAAUUUUUACGGCCUCCUUAGUCACCCUAUCCACUCUCGUCCUGUUUUCGGGUUCCCUUUCAGGGGAUGAGGAUAUUUCGAUGAUUUCUCCCUCCGUAGGUGGAAAACGCGUGGGUGAGUAGAGUCUGUGCUUUGCUUUUGGGGGCACCGGCAAGAAGCUUCUCGGCCACCCUACUCUGACUUGAUUAGCUACUAGUAACUAGGAUCGUUCAAACAGUCAGUCAGCAAUGCGUACUUCUUUCCUAGUUGAGUGGAUCUGCGUAGCAGAGCCCAAUCUUCUACCACAAGCUCUGACCUGACUUGUUGUACUUGAUUCACCCACGUAAAUAGACAACUUGGAUAAUAAAAGUCAUCCCAUAAAAGAGAAGUGAGUCCGCAUGUCGGCAAAUGAUUUGGAAUUGAAACUGGCUACAGAGGAAACCGAAGCCCUAACUCCCCAUUCUUUCUAUCUUACAUCGCCAUCGAGCCCUGGCUGUAGAGUCACUGGUUUCUAAUCGCAAUGGAUUUAUGUUUUCUUUGGCUUUUCCAUUCGCUUCGUUCAACCCUGAUCUGGAUAGAUAGCUCGGCUUCUAUUAGCUGAGAAUGGUUUUGUCAAGGAAAGGUUUCGCUAUACAACAACAAUGAACUCACUUCUGAUCAAAUUGGAUUGGAUGAAUCGGUAAUCUUUCUCUGUCUUGUGAGAGAGAGUCACUUGCUGUAUUGAGAGCGGGCGGGUGACAUGCAUUAAGCGAAAUCAGUUGUUAUGUUUUUGAUCUUCUUUGCGCGAGAAGACCCUUGACUGAGGAGACGUGUUUGGCUUGGAUGAUGCCGCUAUGCUCCUAUUCACUUUCAGAGACCGCUCUGAGUUUGCCGGUUUUGCGGCAACCCUUUCACUAAGAACAUUUUAGCCAUUAACGAAAUGCCACUAUUCCACAAUGCUUCUUUGAUUUAUGUGUAGAAGCGGUAGUAGUGAAGAAAAUGGAGGGAGAAGAAAGAAAGCGAUGUGACACGAGAAUAGAUCACAUCCGACAGCCAGCCAUGCCAUUAGAUAGAUCCGCUCUGAGUCUUCUGCAGGAUGAGAUCCGCUUGGUCUUGUGAUAGGGACUAUUCCUUGCCCUACCUAGUGUGGCUUGGAGAUGUAAGCCUGUUUUCUUCUCUAAGUUGCCUGCAGCCCGAAAGAAUGGAAGAGGAUUUUUCGUAUCACUGAUUUCGCAAUAUUGUUCGAUCUAAGCACGGGAGCAGAAAAGAAAGGGAAAGAGAAGAUCAAUUCCGAGGUUAUGGAUGCUCAGGAACAUGCUUCUCUCUCAGUGGGUCAAUAUUAAAACAACUUUCUGGGAGAAAUCCUUGCAGCUGCUUAUUCAGCCCAGGCAUCACCAUUCAACAAGUGUCAUCCCUACAUAGUAUUGUUGGUCAUGAGCAUCAGGCAGUGUCAAUAUCUUUGGAAGGAUUUUGGUGGGGCAGCUUGAUGAAGGUUCCUGCGUGCCAUUGAUGGGAGAUCUGAUAUCUGACGGCUGAACCUCCCCUACCUCGUGCUUUUGUUCUUUUUAAACAACAGACAGGAGCUAUUCACGUUAUACGCAAACCAUAGAGGUAGGCAUUUCGGCACAUCCUAUGGCACCUAGCAGGCUUCUUUGACCCUGUGCUGGUACAUUGAGCAUUUAUUGUAUUUGAAAGGUCUCCUUUACCGCCAUAGGAUCUCGUACCCACAACUGUCUCUUCAACCUCAGCUUAUCAGUGGUAGGAGGGAAGUCAUCCAAACAAAGAUACUAUACUAUUGGCCAUUAGUGCUUAGUGCUUCAGUGUCUUGAUUGGCUAUUAGUGCAUCUUGGCUUUAGAGUGUUGUAUCUCCUCUUUAUUAUUGAGAAGAGGAGCCAACUCGGGGUUGGGGACUCUUCUGUUUGGUCCCUUUGUUUGAGCAGUGGCCAACCCCGAUAUAGAUUAGGAGAAGCGAUAGAAGUGGCUUGAUUCUAUAAAAAAAUCAAUAUGGGGCAUGGAUAUGAGAACAUUCUUCCCUUGCAUUACCCAGCGGUCCAAUUGCAUUGCAUCAAUAGUAGCUGCCUUUAUCUCCGCAUUCACUAAACGAAAUGCUGAACCUCAGUGCUCUACUGUCUUGAACUAUUUUCUUUAGUUGACAUCGAGGGUUUAGUGCCACGUUCAAACCUUUCUAGAAAAUAGAAAAAGUGAAGUUCUCGAAGUCAGCCCAACAUAAUUGGUAUCCCGCUUUUCCCUCAUCUAGUGAAACAAGCUAGUUCUGGACAAGGAAAAAGCAUUAUAUCAGGUUUAAGGAAAGGCAGGAUGCUUCUACACAGUGCGGAUAAGGCUACGGUGCCUUUUACAAGAGAAGGCUCACACCUGCUUUGCUUAACUGACCUUCUCCUUCUAUAUUGGCCAGAUCAGCACGAAACGAGAGAUACUAUGUUCUUCCAAAGCCCGAGGAAGAUGUCGGAAAACCGCCCAAGCUUGAAAUCGCUGACCCCCCUUUUUAUGAUUUCUCAUAUCCUUCUUGUACAAUCAGCCACAGGCCUCCCCUCAUAUGAUCUGCGGCCCAUUGGGAUUCUACUUGGAUCUCCUUUUCCUUCAGCUUUGGACAAAUCGAUUUUCUGGCGUAUUUCAGUUCAGUCAGUAGUGAACCUCUUCCUUCAUUCAAGUUGGACUAGAUAAACACUAGUAUCAAUUGGUAAUCGAGACCUAAACGAAUAACUUCUCGAGGUAAGGUAAGAUCAAUAUCAAUAGGUGGGAGUGAAGUCAGAAGUGAAGGUAGCAGAAUAGAACCUAUGUUGAUGUAGCUUAGCUUUUCCAAUACUUUCCUUUCCGUGCUUUGACCAUGUCGGUUUUCAAGUUCACAAAAGGGGUUUUUCCAGGUCAAGCUCAGAGGCAUUAGCACUUGCCGUUACUUACAGUGUGGAUAGGCCGGCCUCAUCUCAUCUAGUCCUCUGUUCAAUGAAGCCUUGGUAUCUGCUUCGGCCAAUUCAUACUUCAGAUCGAAUCGACGGGACGGUUGACUUGAGUUGGUUUUGUUCCUUCGCGGGGCACUUUUCAUACUCAACUAAAGAGCAGGCGCCUUCCGGGGGCGAGGAAAGAUGGCUUCAUUUCUUUAAUUACAAUCUGUAUUCCUAUCGAUCUGAAGCCAUUGAUUCGAUUUCAUGCACUUUCGUUAUGCGGUCAGAACAAGUAUCAAGAAUAGGUUUAGCCGCCUUUCCGUUGAUCAAUUCGAUCUGUAAAAUAUGAGGUUUUGCAGCUAUAUGAGACAGAAGUUUUCACUUUAUUGACCCACCCUUAGAAACAAAAAAAAGUAAGGUUUUCGCUGUAGCUGGCUUCCACUUUGUUUUUAAAAGGAGGCUGAAAAAUGCCAAUUCCCCUUAGCAAUCCAUUUUGCUUUACUUUUCGCCCUAGCUGGCUUGAAGUGAUCGGAAAAUUGACCAUGAAAAAGGGCAAUUUCCCUUAGCAACGAAAAAAAGUACCAAGUUGCCCCAUGCUGGAUAGAAAGUUUUUUAAAAUGGAGCAGAUUUUGCUCAUUUCCUAAGGGAGAUGACAAGUCUGUACUUUUGUCCCAUGCUGGAUAGAAUGGUGUUUAUAUAUAUAUAAAUGGCUGUUUUUCGUCGAAAAAUCGGGAAAAAGUUCAUCUCACCAUGUGGAAAACCUUACUUUUUAUCAUUCCCUUUGUAAAUGCCUAUUUUCGCGGGGUAUCUUUUUAAAAAAGUUUGAUCCUGGGAAAAGUCAUACUUUUUGUCCCAAUUCAUACUUAUCUUCUGAUCGGUUGCUUUGAAUGUCUGUUCUGUUCUUCCACGGCUCCACUAUUGGUAGGCACUAUUGCGGAUGACAUUGGUCUAUCGAAAGAAAACGGGCACAUCGCAUCAACUAUUUCACUUUGCUAUACGCAUUUCUUGGGAUCAAAAUGGACUCAACAUUCUUUGGGAGCGGCAUUGACGCCACCUCUUCCGAGCGAAGGGACAAAACCAACUCAAGUUGAGUAUACAACAACCUAGGCUAGGCAGGCCGGCGAAUCCAAAAGAUCAGUACGAAAGCUAGGUCUACGAAAGCUGUUCGUUCCUAUUCUCAAUGAAAAGCGAUUGGUCGAUGCAGCCCUGUCUGUGAUAAAGCUAUCUUGCCCUAGUCCCUCCCUUCCGUCUAAGAAGAUAUAUGUACUUCCUUUGGUUUCAGUGGCAUGUUUCUUNGAGCCUAUUUAUCACUUUUAGUACCUGGAGAAGGGAAUGCAUCACCCGCGAGGUAGGAGUGGCUUGCGGGCUCCUAAUGAGGGCAUACAACAUGGGUCUAACAGUAAUCGAGUAAUAAGCUUCAGUGUGGAUGUCCUUUUUGUCAUUGGCAUGACCAUUCGUUUGAGUCAGCUCAUCUCCACCUAUAGACAGCGCAAUUAUUCCGUUACCCUUUUGGCUAAAGAGCAGAACUAAGAAUUGAGCACGCGGUUGUUCUUUAACCGGGUCAGUUCGUCGGUGUUGGUACGGAUGUUAUGGCCUCAUACUUUUUGCAUUUCCCUAGACAAGAGCUAUUGUUAUACGAUGCCGUUGGUAUAGAAUUGACUUUCGCAUCAUAUCGAGCAAUGGCAUUGAGCCUGAGAGAGAUGCUGAAGGACAACUACCAUACUCUCCCACCGAACAGAGAGAAGCAGAGGCCCUCGCGGAAAGAAUGAAUCUAGUAUCGACGGAAUGGUAUCUAUCUUCUUAAUAUUCGUUUUCCGGGGGAAUGAGCCAACCCACACAAGAGUGCCUACUAGCUUGUCACGAACGCAGAGGAAAAGAGGUAAGAUACCCCCGCCCCCGAGCCGGGACCCCUUCUGGAACUUCUUAUAGUCGGUUGAACCAACAGCCUUAAGCCAAUACUAAAUAAAGUCAAAGUGGAAUAUGGAAAGCAAGCGAUAGAAAAGGAGGAGAAAGAACCACGAUAACCAGAUGUCGAAGCCAGCUUGAGAUGAACAUUAGGAAAGAAAAACAGUGAUUCAACGUUAUGAGUACCCUCCCUUAAUAAAUAAAUAGAAUAGGGGCCAAACAAUUUCCUUCAAUUUGAGUAGAGUGCGUUGGCUGGAAAGUAGUAAAGUCGAAGUGAACCUCUAUUUCGUAAAGGAGAGAUAACCCCGAACUCGAGCUACUUCAUUCUCUAAUAGGCUUGUUGUACCCGGUCUUGCUAUUGACUCCCUAGCUAGCUCAGAAGGAAUGCCUAACUCUGUUGGGACAGAUUGGACAGUUGGAGCAGCCGAUAAACCAGCCACAGCAGAAACAGAAUGACUAGUUUCAACAAGGCGAGCAGGAGAAGCUACUCUCUUUUUAGUCGCAUCCGUGGAAGGAAAGGAUUUUGAUAUCGCAUAUCGAACCGGUGAAGCAAAUGACUUUCUCGAGUGAAACGAAUAGGUCUGGUGCUUCCGAGCCAGCAAGGGGACUAGUUUCAACAAGGCGAGCAACCCCUGCUAUAUGUAUGUAUCCAGGACUAUGAUGUAUCCAGCUCAGUUGGAAAGCACUAGUUUACUUCCUCGCUACCGACCCAGGUACAUUCUUCUUUGGACAUGCCCGACCCUAGCUUAUUGGACAGUUGCAACGAAACGAGUAGGUGUAUCGACCAGGACUAGUAGUUUUACUAGGUGUUCUAAGGGGUAGAAUGACUAGUAGUUACAGCCGUGGAAAGAUAUCUAAUUCAUUUCGGCGCCCUUUCCCCGCCUGGAGAAGGUAAUCUACCACGAGACCAUACAAACAGUGGAAACUCCAUUUUCCGAGAUACUAUUACUCGACCAGGAAUCACCAACCACUAUAGUUAGAUUUAUUCGAUUUCUUGGAGGUUUAAGGGACAGAUUCCAUUCUUCAAAUGUUGAGCUGUAUUCUAUUCAUUCUAUCUUUCUUUCGGCUUCCUAUGGUUCCACAUGGAUUGGUCGACUCAGCUUAAAUAAAAGAGUUAUAGAGUUCAGUUUCUACUGACUCCUCCGCAUAGCCAAGAAGAUCAGAAGAGAAGUCAGAAUUGGUUUUUCCAAAAACUACCCAUGGGAUUUCUUUGUCUUUUCCUUAUCUUUUGUCCGGUGAAGAAUCUCCUGCUGCAGAGAUAAGAUGAAUGGCUUCGAGAUACCAUCACUCGUCAUUGCCAAGGAAAUGAAUUGCAAAUUGGCUACUUAUAGUCUACACUUCCCCUGAUUCUCCACGAUGACCCGCAUUCAUUGAUUGAGAGAAUAAGCUGAAAGCCAGAUAGAUCCAUUGCGAUAUUGGUUUGGAAGAGAAGCCGUGGAGACAGCUCAUUGUUCCUAUGUCCGGAAUUGUUAAAGAAUGAAGGUACCCCGUUGACUAUGUCGGGUAACGCUGACUUAGGUUAUCCAAGGCCUCUAUCAACCACAUCAUAACUGUUUGCUUCCGCUUUCCUCGCAGAGUUGGUUCUAGCUUUCACCGAAGGAUCUCGAUCGAUGCUCGCCAUCAAAAGAUAUGGGUCUAGCUGCUGCCCUAGCCGGAAAGAAUGGGAGAGUGAGCCAUUCAUACUUCAAAGAGUGAUUAGUUUUUUAAGUAAGCCCAUCAAAUUAAGAGGAAAAAGCUGGAAGAAGACGACGGGAUUGUUGAUAGAUCCCCUCUACAUCCUAACCAAGAGGACCAAGUGCAAACCUCUGUCUCCAAGUCCAUCUCGCCGGGUGGAAAGGUUAUUCUUUGCCAGUAGUGCCCUCUGUAGGAAGAAUCGUAAAUGCCGGAGGACGCGUUCAACAUGAAUUGUCACUGUGGAAUGAAAUCACCUCUCGAAUCGAGCAAGAAAUGACUAUUUCUUUUCUAAUAGCGACUUAUCACAAAAAUAACCGAUUGAUACUGUCUUCACAAGGUGGUGCUCGUCCCAAAAGCUACCGAAUUGGCCUAUCAUCAGUAUCCAAUCCAGAUCCCCGUAGGAAAGAAGCUAGAUUUCUCUCUAUUUCAUAGAGUUUUGACUCGAAAGCCUUUGCGCAAGGUAAUCUAUUGACAGAGAGAGAUGCUCCUCCUGCUUGAUAGAAGCAUUAGUUAGUAUGUUAGCUAUAGCCUUCACACAGUCGUCUGGAAUAGAUAGAGAAAGAGAUAAGCUGCACCUGAGUGAUCGAUGCAAAAAAGGAGAAAUUGCUUGUUCGGUUCAACCGAAGCCUAAGACUAAGACUGCGUAGGAGUCAACUGAUGAUCCUACUUUUGCUUUUGCUCCUUGGCUCGGACCCACAUUUCAUCGGAAAGAAAGCGAGGUCUUGGCAGUCCAGUGUCAGCUUCUGAAGAUGGUCAACUCAUCAAAGCGGAAGAUAAACCAGUAUCUAUUGAUGGCGAGCCCGGAUAAUUGAAACAAGCAAGAUACCAUCUCUUCUUUAACUGAACUGAACAGAGCAAACCUCAACCGAUGCGGCCAAAGAGCAAGUGGACUGAACUGCUCUCCCUUACUAUGAAUAAAACGGAGAGUAGAACCGAACACUUGAAGCUCUAAUUACCAGUAUCUUUGGAUACGGAGACCGAGGAAGAGUUCCUCCAAUCUCUUUAAACACACUAUAAUUGGGGGUCCAGAUUCCAGGUCGGAACCCACGUUAUCCCUUGUUUAAGGGGAAUAGAUGAGAUCCAUGGCAUAUACCUCGUAACUAACAGAGGCAGACCCGGUUUAAUGACACCUUUCACAAUAUCAUUAACCCGAACCUCGUCCUCAGCAGUCAGAGGCGUGAUAAUUGACGCGAACGUCCUCUUAUACUAAAUAUCUUUUUAUCCAGCUAUUAUGAUGCUCGCUUCUCUUCGGUUGGAUUCCUCUCGAAGAAGGAAAUUGUGCUUCUUCAGUUCUACAUUCAAAUUAUUGUGAGUAGAUGGAUACCAGGCCUUUUCUGAGAAACUUGGUUUCGGGAACUUUGUGGGAUCCUUGGUAGAGCCAUUUGGAGUGGAGGGUAAUCGGUUUAUGACAAAGACUGUGCUUUCAAACACGACACCCAGGGGAAUGGAGGCUUUGUACAUAGUUGCAAGACGUUGCUCUACAAUGUGUCGGUGUUGACGCUCUGCAAGGCAAGGCAACGGCUGAGGCAGAGCCACCAGGCCUUACUGCUCCUUAUCUCAUUUCUUUGGAAAGGCAAACCUAAUUCAUACGGAACUCUUGGUACAUUUCUUUUUCACUCUCGCCCCGGCGAAAGCACACAAUGCAGAUCCAUGCAUGGGAGCUAGUUCAAUAGGCCUCUCGGUGAAAUCGCCUACUUUACUUUUUAUACGAAAUUCGUUGCACGUAGAUCUUCCAUUUAUUGGGAAUUCGUUCGACGACCGUCUGAUUCUAAUUCACUUCCAUCCUUUAGCCAUGUCUCUUGAUCGAUACCAUCCACGUGUCUUUUAUUCUUUAGAAAAAGAAAAUGCAUUGCGACUUCCUCUUUUCUGAUUUGCAUUCAAGUAGAUAAGAGAAGCUUGUGGGGAUCGUCAAGAACAAACUUAG
rnacentral:lncRNA from 1 species